GAUCAGUCUCUUUAAUACAAAUCUUAGUACUCAAUCAUUGCAUCUGGGAUCAAACUUAGUUAGGUUUCUUGGCUCAGAAGGACAGUUUUCAAAACUUUUAUGGCUUUUAUGCCCAUCGGUUUCUUUGCCAAAUCUCCACCUUCUGGUAAUAUAAGCCUUGUGCUAUGUGUGCAGGUUUCUGGGAAGGUUAGUGGUGUCCAAUGAUAGAGGACUAGGCAUUGUGCUUGCUAUAGCUCCUCUGAUCUGGUUGACAGAAUUUUCUGGAUCUCUGGUUCUAGGUAAUCACUCACCAUGAGGACUCUCUACCUGAUGUAUAUGGUGCUUUUUUUGGUAUUUGCCUAUACUGUUGAAGGGCUGAAUAAAAUUGAAGGCUGGUAUCAAUGCCAGAUGGAUGGUGGUCGUUGUUUGCCUCGUUGUCCAAAAUCAUACAUGGUAUCUGGGACCUGCUCCAAACAAGAAUUGAUUUGCUGCGUAGUUUAGCAGGAAAGAACAACACAUUCUGUGGUAUAGAAGAGUGAGAGUAUAAAAUAGGAGAGAACUUGAAAUACAUGGAAUAUGUUACUCUUGUUUAAAUAAAGGAAAAUCCAUUUGGAAACUUGAUUUCUUA
rnacentral:lncRNA from 1 species